rfam:Macaca mulatta chromosome 16, whole genome shotgun sequence.
GGCAGUGACGCCUAGUGGUUUAGAGCACAGCCUCUAGAUCGAGACAUUCCUGGGUUCAAAUCCCAGCACUGUUG